CCCCACUUAACUAAGCCGGCCUCGGAAAAUAUUAGUUUUUCUGAAGGUGUGCAGAUGGUGGGAACAUUAAUUCUUUGAAUGUGUAUGGAAAUCCACUUUUUUAUAGUGGUUGACCAAAGGAAUCUUUGAUACAUUA